AACGAACGCUGGCGGCAGGCCUAACACAUGCAAGUCGAACGCUUCAGCAAUGAAGAGUGGCAGACGGGUGAGUAACGCGUGGGAACCUUCCCAGUGGUACGGAAUAGCCCAGGGAAACUUGGGGUAAUACCGUAUAAGCCCUUCGGGGGAAAGAUUUAUCGCCAUUGGAUGGGCCCGCGUCGGAUUAGCUUGUUGGUGAGGUAAAAGCUCACCAAGGCGACGAUCCGUAGCUGGUCUGAGAGGAUGAUCAGCCACACUGGGACUGAGACACGGCCCAGACUCCUACGGGAGGCAGCAGUGGGGAAUAUUGGACAAUGGGCGCAAGCCUGAUCCAGCCAUGCCGCGCGAGUGACGAAGGCCUUAGGGUUGUAAAGCUCUUUUGGCGGGGACGAUAAUGACGGUACCCGCAGAAUAAGCUCCGGCUAACUUCGUG
rnacentral:rRNA from 1 species